ACGCCAGGCCCGGAAAAUGCAAGAGAGUGGAUGGAAGCCGCGGUGGUUUGUAAAGGAUAAAGGAAGUGAUUCAUAUCGUUAUGUUGGCGGAUAUUGGGAAGCCAGGCAACAGGGAAAUUGGGAGUCAUGUCCUGAUAUAUUUGGCCAAGUCCCUCCUGAUCAGCUGCUUGAUUAAAGUUCAACAGCCAUCAAUUCUUUUCCAAUUUUUUUGGGGGCAUAUAGCGGAUAAGUGCUGGUGUGUGCAGUUAAGGUGCCCCAUGAAAUCCCCGCAAGUAAAUUAAGAUCCGAUAAUAAAAGAUAUAUUCUUUUCUUUUGUUUUUAAUCACCCUCUGCCGGGCCAUAUUCAUUUGGUGAUACUGGGCAUGCUUUUCAAUUAUCUUGAAUUGCAAGUCAAGCCGCAACUUCCUGAAAUCAUUUGGCGCAAUAUCAUGGGCAAUUUAAGAGACAAUAUGAAGUGGUAUAGCACCUAUUUCCUGUUAUUGUACAUGGUGGGGCAUUACAAAUGGUUGUUGCUUGCUCCAUGUUGGUCUGUUUCCCAAUUUUUGAAGGCUUAUGUAG
rnacentral:misc_RNA from 1 species